CAUUUUCUUUGGAAUCGAAGGCCAAUCAGAUAUGAUUUAUUCCAUAUGAUUCUGCAUUCCAUCUGGUUAAGCAGAUUGAGCCAGAUUCAAAUCCCAGAAUCCUAGUAUAUGUUUAACAAGUGCUCUAGAGGAUGUUAACUUCUCAAAAUAGGUUUAGUUCGAAUGAGGAGCUGUUUAGAGCAAGACUAGUGACUAAGAUGCAAGUCCAAGAAGGGAAGCGACUGCUAAUAUUAUGAAGGACUUCAACCAGCACUGGGUGCCUGCAACAGUUGUUUCAUGGUUAGUGUCCCGAGUUCUUUGAACUGAAACAUGGAUGAAUAUUUUCUGGGAUGACGGGGUUGGAUGCCAAACUGAAAAUUCUUACUGCAGCAAAUCUGAUAUAAAGAGCAUAAAGGUGAGGCUAGGGGCGAUUAAGAAGAAGAGGAACGCUGUGCUGAAGUAUCUGAAGAAUAAUGUUGCUGUUCUUCUCAAGAUUGGCCUUGAUAUUAAUGUAUAUGGAGGGUUAAGUUUCAUGGCUCAUUAGUUUUAAUGUAUAUGAUGUGUCAAUUUCAUCAUUGUUUUGCUUGGCCUUAAUAGAAAUUAAUACAAUUCCCUAAUAUUUAAAGUACAUUUGAAUUUCA